rnacentral:misc_RNA from 1 species
AUAACAUCAGCCAAAAGCCUUUUCUCAAACUCAUUUUCUGUUAUAACAUCCUUGAGAGACUUCUUCAGACUUUUAGAUUCAUUCUGUAUGGCCUGCAGGAUCCCAAUCCCAUACUGGAUGCUCUCACUGGAUAAAACAAGUCUUGUAGCUUCAGCUUCAGGAUUCUGCAUUAGAUGAUGGCUUAGAGCCCAACCAAUCACCUUCUCUGCACUUUCAUUUGUCAGUGUCUGGUCCUUAAUGCAUAAUGUCUCAAGUCCUUCACAUUCCAUCCCACUCCGACCCAGAACAGCACGCAGGUGAUUCAAAUUCCCCUUCAUUUUGAGGGUUUCAACAUCUCGAUCCAAUUGAUGCUUCCAAGAUGCUAGAAGAACCUCGUCCUGUGGCAUGUGAAUAACUACUUUAUUAGGGAAAAGUUUAGUCAG